rnacentral:rRNA from 1 species
AAAUGAAUUGACGGGGGCCCGCACAAGCGGUGGAGCAUGUGGUUUAAUUCGAUGCAACGCGAAGAACCUUACCUGGGCUUGACAUGAACUGGAAGGGUGGCAGAAAUGUCCCCGCCCGCAAGGGCCGGUUUACAGGUGCUGCAUGGCUGUCGUCAGCUCGUGUCGUGAGAUGUUGGGUUAAGUCCCGCAACGAGCGCAACCCUUGCCUUUAGUUGCCAGUAUUUAGUUAGGCACUCUAAAGGGACUGCCGACGUUAAGUCGGAGGAAGGUGGGGAUGACGUCAAGUCCUCAUGGCCCUUAUGUCCAGGGCUACACACGUGCUACAAUGGUGGUCACAGAGGGUAGCCAAAGCGCAAGCUGGAGCUAAUCCCUUAAAAGCCAUCUAAGUUCAGAUUGAGGUCUGCAACUCGACCUCAUGAAGGUGGAAUCGCUAGUAAUCGCGGAUCAGAACGCCGCGGUGAAUACGUUCCCGGGCCUUGUACACACCGCCCGU